AACGGCCAUACCAUGCUGAAUAUACCGGUUCUCGUUAGAUCACCGAAGUCAAGCAUCAUUGGGCGCGGUCAGUACUUGGGUGGGUGACCACCUGGGAACACCACGUGCCGUUG